rnacentral:rRNA from 1 species
GCAAGUCGAGCGGUAACAGAGAUAGCUUGCUAUCUGCUGACGAGUGGCGGACGGGUGAGUAAUGCGUAGGAAUCUGCCUAGUAGUGGGGGACAACGUGUGGAAACGCACGCUAAUACCGCAUACGCCCUACGGGGGAAAGCGGGGGAUCUUCGGACCUCGCGCUAUUAGAUGAGCCUACGUUAGAUUAGCUGGUUGGUGGGGUAAAGGCCUACCAAGGCGACGAUCUAUAGCUGGUCUGAGAGGAUGAUC